rnacentral:rRNA from 1 species
CCACAUUGGGACUGAGAUACGGCCCAGACUCCUACGGGAGGCAGCAGUGGGGAAUAUUGCACAAUGGGCGCAAGCCUGAUGCAGCGACGCCGCGUGCGGGAUGGAGGCCUUCGGGUUGUAAACCGCUUUUGUUCAAGGGCAAGGCACGGUUUCGGCCGUGUUGAGUGGAUUGUUCGAAUAAGCACCGGCUAACUACGUGCCAGCAGCCGCGGUAAUACGUAGGGUGCGAGCGUUAUCCGGAUUUAUUGGGCGUAAAGGGCUCGUAGGCGGUUCGUCGCGUCCGGUGUGAAAGUCCAUCGCCUAACGGUGGAUCUGCGCCGGGUACGGGCGGGCUGGAGUGCGGUAGGGGAGACUGGAAUUCCCGGUGUAACGGUGGAAUGUGUAGAUAUCGGGAAGAACACCAAUGGCGAAGGCAGGUCUCUGGGCCGUCACUGACGCUGAGGAGCGAAAGCGUGGGGAGCGAACAGGAUUAGAUACCCUGGUAGUCCACGCCGUAAACGGUGGAUGCUGGAUGUGGGGCCCUUUCCACGGGUCCCGUGUCGGAGCCAACGCGUUAAGCAUCCCGCCUGGGGAGUACGGCCGCAAGGCUAAAACUCAAAGAAAUUGACGGGGGCCCGCACAAGCGGCGGAGCAUGCGGAUUAAUUCGAUGCAACGCGAAGAACCUUACCUGGGCUUGACAUGUGCCGGAUCGCCGUGGAGACACGGUUUCCCUUCGGGGCCGGUUCACAGGUGGUGCAUGGUCGUCGUCAGCUCGUGUCGUGAGAUGUUGGGUUAAGUCCCGCAACGAGCGCAACCCUCGCCGCAUGUUGCCAGCGGGUGAUGCCGGGAACUCAUGUGGGACCGCCGGGGUCAACUCGGAGGAAGGUGGGGAUGACGUCAGAUCAUCAUGCCCCUUACGUCCAGGGCUUCACGCAUGCUACAAUGGCCGGUACAACGCGGUGCGACACGGUGACGUGGGGCGGAUCGCUGAAAACCGGUCUCAGUUCGGAUCGCAGUCUGCAACUCGACUGCGUGAAGGCGGAGUCGCUAGUAAUCGCGGAUCAGCAACGCCGCGGUGAAUGCGUUCCCGGGCCUUGUACACACCGCCCGUCAAGUCAUGAAAGUGGGUAGCACCCGAAGCCGGUGGCCCGACCCUUGUGGGGGGAGCCGUCUAAGGUGAGACUCGUGAUUGGGACUAAGUCGUAACAAGGUAGCCGUACCGGAAGGUGCGGCUG